rnacentral:rRNA from 1 species
GAUGAACGCUGGCGGCGUGCCUAAUACAUGCAAGUCGAGCGAAUGGAUUAAGAGCUUGCUCUUAUGAAGUUAGCGGCGGACGGGUGAGUAACACGUGGGUAACCUGCCCAUAAGACUGGGAUAACUCCGGGAAACCGGGGCUAAUACCGGAUAACAUUUUGAACCGCAUGGUUCGAAAUUGAAAGGCGGCUUCGGCUGUCACUUAUGGAUGGGCCCGCGUCGCAUUAGCUAGUUGGUGAGGUAACGGCUCACCAAGGCAACGAUGCGUAGCCGACGUGGAAUGGUGACCGGCCACACAGGGACUGAGACACGGCCCAGACGCCUACGGGAGGCAGCAGUAGGGAAUCUUCCGCAAUGGACGAAAGUCUGACGGAGCAACGCCGCGUGAGUGAUGAAGGCUUUCGGGUCGUAAAACUCUGUUGUUAGGGAAGAACAAGUGCUAGUUGAAUAAGCGGGCACCUUGACGGUACCUAACCAGAAAGCCACGGCUAACUACGUGCCAGCCGCCGCCGUAA